GGCUUGGUGGCGGAGGGUCCGCACCCGCAGUAAAUGGAUCUUUCACAAUGAGAUUAUUUCUGCAGGAGGCGCUCGUUCGAAUCGAGCCCGGGUCA